GGAUGAAAGGGCAAACUGGCUGUGACAUCUGUCACCCUGUUGUUUGCCAAUAUUGAUCUGUCAGAUGUGGUAGGCUACAUUGGUGUCUGUCCCUUAGCAUUUCAUGUGUGUCCCUUCCGAAGUUGUUUGCUCAAUGGAAGUUGAAAACCAUGCCAGACAAAAGGAGCAUAUAAAUUUUUGGUCAAGGGUAUAUAGAU
rnacentral:snRNA from 1 species